UACGUAGGGUGCAAGCGUUGUCCGGAAUUUAUUGGGCGUAAAGAGCUCGUAGGCGGUCUGUCGCGUCUGCUGUGAAAAAUCAGGGCUCAACCCUGGACCUGCAGUGGGUACGGGGCAGACUAGAGUGCGGUAGGGGAGAUCGGAAUUCCUGGUGUAGCGGUGAAAUGCGCAGAUAUCAGGAGGAACACCGGUGGCGAAGGCGGAUCUCUGGGCCGUAAACUGACGCUGAGGAGCGAAAGCAUGGGGAGCAAACGGG
rnacentral:rRNA from 1 species